GAUGAAGAACGUAGCGAAAUGCGAUACGUGAUGUGAAUUGCAGAAUUCAGUGAAUCAUCGAAUCUUUGAACGCAUAUUGCGCUCUCUGGUAUUCCGGAGAGCAUGCUUGUUUGAGUAUCAGUAAACACCUCAACUCUUUUUUCUUUUUUGAAAUUGGAGCUGGACUUGAGUGAUCCCAACGCUUUCUUCCAAGAAAGUGGCGGGUUGCUUGAAAUGCAGGUGCAGCUGAACUUUUCUCUGAGCUAUAAGCAUAUCUAUUUAGUCUGCCUAAAAAACAGAUUAUUACCUUUGCUGCAGCUAACAUAAAGGAGACUAGUUCUUGUGCUGACUGAUGCAGGAUUCACAGAGACAGCUUCGGCUGACUUUGUAAACUCGAUCUCAAAUCAAGUAAGACUACCCGCUGAACUUAAGCAUAUCAAUAAGCGGAGGA
rnacentral:misc_RNA from 1 species